AGGUGCUGGGCUACCUGACUGCUAGCAGGGACUGAGGGAGGGCAUUUCUUGAAGAGUUACCCAGAUCCAGCUGCUUAUCUGCCCCUGGCCAUGGUUUAUGUUGUUGACUGAUUGCACCAGCUGCUGAGAGGUGGUUUUAUGUAGUGUGAGUAAUUGAAACUUGGUUCUAAGUUUCCCUCUUGUCCCUUCCUGUUUAAUGCAGUCAGCUGUCCUCGAAUUUAUUUUUUGGUGGUACUUUGAAUCAGCCCCCUGUGUGAGAAUUCAACAAAAACGCAACUGAUACAAAGCAUCUGCACUGAGUGCUGCAGGAGGCUUCUCACAUGCUUUGGGAUAUCUUCAGGGAAAUACGCUCUUAAUAGAAACUGAGAAUUUAAGAUUAUACACAGACGCAAGCCUACCAUCCUGUAGCGUGUGGACCUAGGGCAAAAUUUUCUCAUUAUUUG
rnacentral:lncRNA from 10 species